rnacentral:rRNA from 1 species
GAAAACUCCGGUGGUGUAAGAUGGGCCCGCGUCUGAUUAGGUAGUUGGCGGGGUAACGGCCCACCAAGCCGACGAUCAGUAGCCGGCCUGAGAGGGUGGACGGCCACAUUGGGACUGAGACACGGCCCAAACUCCUACGGGAGGCAGCAGUGGGGGAUAUUGCACAAUGGGCGCAAGCCUGAUGCAGCGACGCCGCGUGAGCGAAGAAGUAUUUCGGUAUGUAAAGCUCUAUCAGCAGGGAAGAAAAUGACGGUACCUGACUAAGAAGCUCCGGCUAAAUACGUGCCAGCAGCCGCGGUAAUACGUAUGGAGCAAGCGUUAUCCGGAUUUACUGGGUGUAAAGGGAGCGUAGGCGGCUCUGUAAGUCUGAUGUGAAAAUUUGGGGCUCAACCCCAAACGUGCAUUGGAAACUGCAGGGCUUGAGUGCCGGAGAGGCAGGCGGAAUUCCUAGUGUAGCGGUGAAAUGCGUAGAUAUUAGGAGGAACACCAGUGGCGAAGGCGGCCUGCUGGACGGUAACUGACGCUGAGGCUCGAAAGCGUGGGGAGCAAACAGGAUUAGAUACCCUGGUAGUCCACGCUGUAAACGAUGAAUACUAGGUGUCGGGGAGCAAAGCUCUUCG